rnacentral:rRNA from 1 species
CCCGGCACAAGCGGUGGAGCAUGUGGUUUAAUUCGUAAGCAACGCGAAGAACCUUACCAGGUCUUGACAUCCCGAUGCUAUUUCUAGAGAUGAAAGUUACUUCGGUACCAUCGGUGACAGGUGGUGCAUGGUUGUCGUCAGCUCGUGUCGUGAGAUGUUGGGUUAAGUCCCGCAACGAGCGCAACCCCUAUUGUUAGUUGCCAUCAUUCAGUUGGGCACUCUAGCGAGACUGCCGGUAAUAAACCGGAGGAAGGUGGGGAUGACGUCAAAUCAUCAUGCCCCUUAUGACCUGGGCUACACACGUGCUACAAUGGUUGGUACAACGAGUUGCGAGUCGGUGACGGCGAGCUAAUCUCUUAAAGCCAAUCUCAGUUCGGAUUGUAGGCUGCAACUCGCCUACAUGAAGUCGGAAUCGCUAGUAAUCGCGGAUCAGCACGCCGCGGUGAAUACGUUCCCGGGCCUU